UACGUAGGGACCAAGCGUUGUUCGGAUUUACUGGGCGUAAAGGGCGCGUAGGCGGCGCGGUAAGUCACUUGUGAAAUCUCUGAGCUUAACUCAGAACGGCCAAGUGAUACUGCAGUGCUAGAGUGUGGAAGGGGCAAUCGGAAUUCUUGGUGUAGCGGUGAAAUGCGUAGAUAUCAAGAGGAACACCUGAGGUGAAGACGGGUUGCUGGGCUGACACUGACGCUGAGUGCGCGAAAGCCAGGGGAGCAAACGGG
rnacentral:rRNA from 1 species